AUCUAGCCAUGGGCAGGUUGAAGGUUGGGUAACACUAACUGGAGGACCGAACCGACUAAUGUUGAAAAAUUAGCGGAUGACUUGUGGCUGGGGGUGAAAGGCCAAUCAAACCGGGAGAUAGCUGGUUCUCCCCGAAAGCUAUUUAGGUAGCGCCUCGUGAAUUCAUCUCCGGGGGUAGAGCACUGUUUCGGCAAGGGGGUCAUCCCGACUUACCAACCCGAUGCAAACUGCGAAUACCGGAGAAUGUUAUCACGGGAGACACACGGCGGGUGCUAACGUCCGUCGUGAAGAGGGAAACAACCCAGACCGCCAGCUAAGGUCCCAAAGUCAUGGUUAAGUGGGAAACGAUGUGGGAAGGCCCAGACAGCCAGGAUGUUGGCUUAGAAGCAGCCAUCAUUUAAAGAAAGCGUAAUAGCUCACUGGUCGAGUCGGCCUGCGCGGAAGAUGUAACGGGGCUAAACCAUGCACCGAAGCUGCGGCAGCGACGCUGAUGCGUUGUUGGGUAGGGGAGCGUUCUGUAAGCCUGUGAAGGUGUGCUGUGAGGCAUGCUGGAGGUAUCAGAAGUGCGAAUGCUGACAUAAGUAACGAUAAAGCGGGUGAAAAGCCCGCUCGCCGGAAGACCAAGGGUUCCUGUCCAACGUUAAUCGGGGCAGGGUGAGUCGACCCCUAAGGCGAGGCCGAAAGGCGUAGUCGAUGGGAAACAGGUUAAUAUUCCUGUACUUGGUGUUACUGCGAAGGGGGGACGGAGAAGGCUAUGUUGGCCGGGCGACGGUUGUCCCGGUUUAAGCGUGUAGGCUGGUUUUCCAGGCAAAUCCGGAAAAUCAAGGCUGAGGCGUGAUGACGAGGCACUACGGUGCUGAAGCAACAAAUGCCCUGCUUCCAGGAAAAGCCUCUAAGCAUCAGGUAACAUCAAAUCGUACCCCAAACCGACACAGGUGGUCAGGUAGAGAAUACCAAGGCGCUUGAGAGAACUCGGGUGAAGGAACUAGGCAAAAUGGUGCCGUAACUUCGGGAGAAGGCACGCUGAUAUGUAGGUGAAGUCCCUCGCGGAUGGAGCUGAAAUCAGUCGAAGAUACCAGCUGGCUGCAACUGUUUAUUAAAAACACAGCACUGUGCAAACACGAAAGUGGACGUAUACGGUGUGACGCCUGCCCGGUGCCGGAAGGUUAAUUGAUGGGGUCAGCGCAAGCGAAGCUCUUGAUCGAAGCCCCGGUAAACGGCGGCCGUAACUAUAACGGUCCUAAGGUAGCGAAAUUCCUUGUCGGGUAAGUUCCGACCUGCACGAAUGGCGUAAUGAUGGCCAGGCUGUCUCCACCCGAGACUCAGUGAAAUUGAACUCGCUGUGAAGAUGCAGUGUACCCGCGGCAAGACGGAAAGACCCCGUGAACCUUUACUAUAGCUUGACACUGAACAUUGAGCCUUGAUGUGUAGGAUAGGUGGGAGGCUUUGAAGUGUGGACGCCAGUCUGCAUGGAGCCGACCUUGAAAUACCACCCUUUAAUGUUUGAUGUUCUAACGUUGACCCGUGAUCCGGGUUGCGGACAGUGUCUGGUGGGUAGUUUGACUGGGGCGGUCUCCUCCUAAAGAGUAACGGAGGAGCACGAAGGUUGGCUAAUCCUGGUCGGACAUCAGGAGGUUAGUGCAAUGGCAUAAGCCAGCUUGACUGCGAGCGUGACGGCGCGAGCAGGUGCGAAAGCAGGUCAUAGUGAUCCGGUGGUUCUGAAUGGAAGGGCCAUCGCUCAACGGAUAAAAGGUACUCCGGGGAUAACAGGCUGAUACCGCCCAAGAGUUCAUAUCGACGGCGGUGUUUGGCACCUCGAUGUCGGCUCAUCACAUCCUGGGGCUGAAGUAGGUCCCAAGGGUAUGGCUGUUCGCCAUUUAAAGUGGUACGCGAGCUGGGUUUAGAACGUCGUGAGACAGUUCGGUCCCUAUCUGCCGUGGGCGCUGGAGAACUGAGGGGGGCUGCUCCUAGUACGAGAGGACCGGAGUGGACGCAUCACUGGUGUUCGGGUUGUCAUGCCAAUGGCACUGCCCGGUAGCUAAAUGCGGAAGAGAUAAGUGCUGAAAGCAUCUAAGCACGAAACUUGC
rnacentral:rRNA from 1 species